CGAGCGGAACGACUUAUCUGAACCUUCGGGGAACGUUAAGGGCGUCGAGCGGCGGACGGGUGAGUAAUGCCUAGGAAAUUGCCUUGAUGUGGGGGAUAACCAUUGGAAACGAUGGCUAAUACCGCAUAAUGCCUACGGGCCAAAGAGGGGGACCUUCGGGCCUCUCGCGUCAAGAUAUGCCUAGGUGGGAUUAGCUAGUUGGUGAGGUAAUGGCUCACCAAGGCGACGAUCCCUAGCUGGUCUGAGAGGAUGAUCAGCCACACUGGAACUGAGACACGGUCCAGACUCCUACGGGAGGCAGCAGUGGGGAAUAUUGCACAAUGGGCGAAAGCCUGAUGCAGCCAUGCCGCGUGUAUGAAGAAGGCCUUCGGGUUGUAAAGUACUUUCAGUUGUGAGGAAGGGGGUGUCGUUAAUAGCGGCAUCUCUUGACGUUAGCAACAGAAGAAGCACCGGCUAACUCCGUGCCAGCAGCCGCGGUAAUACGGAGGGUGCGAGCGUUAAUCGGAAUUACUGGGCGUAAAGCGCAUGCAGGUGGUUCAUUAAGUCAGAUGUGAAAGCCCGGGGCUCAACCUCGGAACUGCAUUUGAAACUGGUGAACUAGAGUACUGUAGAGGGGGGUAGAAUUUCAGGUGUAGCGGUGAAAUGCGUAGAGAUCUGAAGGAAUACCAGUGGCGAAGGCGGCCCCCUGGACAGAUACUGACACUCAGAUGCGAAAGCGUGGGGGAGCAAACAGGAUUAGAUACCCUGGUAGUCCACGCCGUAAACGAUGUCUACUUGAGGUUGUGGCCUUGA
rnacentral:rRNA from 1 species